rnacentral:rRNA from 1 species
GAUGAACGCUGGCGGCGUGCCUAAUACAUGCAAGUCGAGCGAACGGACGAGAAGCUUGCUUCUCUGAUGUUAGCGGCGGACGGGUGAGUAACACGUGGAUAACCUACCUAUAAGACUGGGAUAACUUCGGGAAACCGGAGCUAAUACCGGAUAAUAUUUUGAACCGCAUGGUUCAAAAGUGAAAGACGGUCUUGCUGUCACUUAUAGAUGGAUCCGCGCUGCAUUAGCUAGUUGGUAAGGUAACGGCUAACCAAGGCAACGAUGCAUAGCCGACCUGAGAGGUUGACGGGCCCCACUGGACCUGAGACAGGUUCCAGCCCCCUACGGGAGGCGGCGUUAGGGAUUCUUCCGCAAUGGGGGAAAGCCUGACGGGGCAACGCCGCGUGGGUGAUGAAGGUCUUCGGUUCGUAAAACUCUUUUAUUGGGGAAGAACAUAUGUUUAGGUAACAGUGCCCAUCUGGACGGUACCUAAUCAGAAGGCCCCGCUUACCUCCUG